rnacentral:lncRNA from 1 species
UUCAAUACUUUGAAGGAAAUCAUGGUUACCAUUUUAUACCACUAGUUGGCAGAAUAGCUGGCAGGAUUAAAGUAUUACAUAGGCUCGUGAUUUAGCAUAGGAGCUGGUCAUUCAGGUGAUGUGCAGGGUCUGAAAAACUGGUUCCCUCAGAUUUCUAGUUUUUAAGAUCCGGUGUCAGUGACAUAACAGUAAUAUUUCUAGAAGCCGAAUUUAUAAUUUGGAGUCCAAUUUGAUGAACAGUUGUUAUGUGCCACAUGGAGUCUUAUUCUGUUAUUCAUAUCGUGUGUACAAUAUAAAUAUGCAAAUUGAAACCAACCUUUUCUGGCUCUGCCACGAGCAGAUUCCAGCUGCCUUCAUUUAUUUAUUUAUUAAGAAAAUAUGUUCUCCCUAAUGCCUGUAAGCAGUUGUCUAUCAGCUAUCAUGGAACAUUUUACAUUGUUCUGAAACAAAACAGUAAAGUUUAGUAGGUACUAGAUUUAUCACGAAAUAGCUUCACAUGAAAUGUUUAUGAUGUAACAGAAAACAAGGAAUAUUACAAAAAUAUUGUGUAAAUGAGCUGAUGGUUGAUAUGUUACCUCUUCGGGUGUCGAUUUUUGUAGCAGACUAGUUAAAUGCUUGUGCAUUGCUAUGGACGCUAUUAAACACUUGUGCCACCAUAGUUCUUGAGUAGUUGAGCUAGUAUAAAAUAGGGAAAAUUAUCUCAAAAUAUAGAUGCUAUUGAGGCUUACAUACUGACGACUAGUUUACUACAAUUCUACAAAAAUUCCUGGCAGUACCCAACAUGUAUUAACUUAAAUCGUUGAUAAGUCAGAAUAUGCUGAUUGACAUGGUUAUCUUGUCAACGGUAGAUUUACUGGGCUUGUUAAACCAUUGUUUAGCUUGUCCAUUAUUUUUAUCUUGCACAUAAGUAAAUUUAUUGCAUAUAAGUCCAGAUGAUUUUCACUGUGGUAUAUAUCAGUAUAAAUCUUCUUAUACGGGGUUUAAUUCUAAGGCUUGGGCAUACCAAUGGCUGGUAUGUAGCGCCCUGAUGGGGUCACUUGUGUGUGGGCUGUGGCAAAUACUCCCUCCGUUCCUAAAUAUUUGUCUUUUUAAAAAUUCAACUACGGACUACAUACAAAUGGCUGGUAUGUAGCGCCCUGAUGGGGUCGCUUGUGUGUGGACUGUGGCAAAUACUAGAUUGCAGGCCAAGCUCCGUCAGCCUAAAGAAAACAUGAUGCUAGUGCUAGUUAGUGUUGCUAGUUUUGCUGCUUUACCUUAUAAUUUUUGUUCCCCCCCUGCGAUGUAACAAAUUGUUUCUGCUGUUGGGGAAAUACUUAAUUUGUAGUGUUAAUAUCGUUUUUGCCACAGGUGAUGGAGCGGAGCGGAUGGAGAAGAGCCGAUGGUUUUGACGCUUGUUUUUGGUGGCUCGUCUAUCACACAGCGAAUCUUUUACAGUGCCCUUUGGAACAUAUGUGAAAUCAUAUAGGGAACCUGUGGAGACAUGGGCGAUUGAUUUAUUGAUGUGUGUGUGUGUGUGGGGGGGGGGGNNNNN